rnacentral:rRNA from 1 species
GGUUAAGUCCGCACGAGCGCAACCCUUGUCCUUAGUUGCCAGCAUAAUUGGGCACUCUAAGGAGACUGCCGGUGUUAAACCGGAGGAAGGUGGGGAUGACGUCAAGUCCUCAUGGCCCUUAUGUCCAGGGCUACACACGUGCUACAAUGGCCGGUACAAAGGGCUGCAAUACCGCAAGGUGGAGCGAACCCCAAAAAGCCGGUCUCAGUUCGGAUUGGAGUCUGCAACUCGACUCCAUGAAGUUGGAAUCGCUAGUAAUCGCGGAUCAGCAUGCCGCGGUGAAUACGUUCCCGGGCCUU